UACAGAGGAUGCAAGCGUUAUCCGGAAUGAUUGGGCGUAAAGCGUCUGUAGGUGGCUUUUUAAGUCCGCCGUCAAAUCCCAGGGCUCAACUCUGGACAGGCGGUGGAAACUACCAAGCUGGAGUACGGUAGGGGCAGGAGGGAAUUCCCGGUGUAGCGGUGAAAUGCGCAGAUAUCGGGAGGAACACCGGUGGCGAAGGCGGUUCUCUGGGCCUGUACUGACGCUGAGGAGCGAAAGCGUGGGGAGCGAACAGGAUUAGAUACCCCGU
rnacentral:rRNA from 1 species